rnacentral:rRNA from 1 species
GACGAACGCUGGCGGCGUGCCUAAUACAUGCAAGUAGAACGCUGAAGAGAGGAGCUUGCUCUUCUUGGAUGAGUUGCGAACGGGUGAGUAACGCGUAGGUAACCUGCCUUGUAGCGGGGGAUAACUAUUGGAAACGAUAGCUAAUACCGCAUAACAAUAGGUGACACAUGUCAUUUAUUUGAAAGGGGCAAUUGCUCCACUACAAGAUGGACCUGCGUUGUAUUAGCUAGUAGGUGAGGUAACGGCUCACCUAGGCGACGAUACAUAGCCGACCUGAGAGGGUGAUCGGCCACACUGGGACUGAGACACGGCCCAGACUCCUACGGGAGGCAGCAGUAGGGAAUCUUCGGCAAUGGGGGCAACCCUGACCGAGCAACGCCGCGUGAGCGAAGAAGGUUUUCGGAUCGUAAAGCUCUGUUGUAAGUCAAGAACGAGUGUGAGAGUGGAAAGUUCACACUGUGACGGCAGCUUACCAGAAAGAGACGGCUAACUACGUG